rnacentral:rRNA from 1 species
AUUGAACGCUGGCGGCAUGCUUUACACAUGCAAGUCGAACGGCAGCGCGGGCUUCGGCCUGGCGGCGAGUGGCGAACGGGUGAGUAAUGCAUCGGAACGUGCCCAGUAGUGGGGGAUAGCCCGGCGAAAGCCGGAUUAAUACCGCAUACGACCUGAGGGUGAAAGCGGGGGACCGAAAGGCCUCGCGCUAUUGGAGCGGCCGAUGUCGGAUUAGCUAGUUGGUGGGGUAAAGGCUUACCAAGGCGACGAUCCGUAGCUGGUCUGAGAGGACGACCAGCCACACUGGGACUGAGACACGGCCCAGACUCCUACGGGAGGCAGCAGUGGGGAAUUUUGGACAAUGGGGGCAACCCUGAUCCAGCCAUGCCGCGUGCGGGAAGAAGGCCUUCGGGUUGUAAACCGCUUUUGUUCGGGAAGAAAUCCUCCGGGCUAAUACCCCGGGGGGAUGACGGUACCGGAAGAAUAAGCACCGGCUAACUACGUG